rnacentral:rRNA from 1 species
GAAAGAUGAAAAGAACUUUGAAAAGAGAGUUAAACAGUACGUGAAAUUGUUGAAAGGGAAACGAUUGAAGUCAGUCAUACCAACGGGAAAUCAACCUUUUGAGCUUGGUUUCGUGGGUUUUGAAGAGUUUCAAAGCCUUCGGAUUCGCGAGAUUGGGAUCUCUUGGUGUACUUUUUCGUACGGUUAGUCAACAUCGGUUUUGAAUGUCAUAAAAUGACUGGAGGAAUGUAGCUUCGAUCUCGUAUUGAAGUAUUAUA